GUUGUACAUGGCGAGCGGGUUACUCACUGAGGGCUGGUGAUUGGUGUAAUGGAAGCCGUCACUGAACCGCAUUUAAUGACGGAGAACUACAGGAGUGGAGAGAAAACGCAGCACUGAGCAACUUGUAGACUUCACACCCGACUGUAGGUGGAAUCCCUUCUAUUGUGUGCUGGAAGAUCGCUGGACUUGAAGCAACUCCAAAUGGUGGCCUGUUUGUCCAAAGCCCAGGCUGACCCCCCACCCCUUCAACCUUUGCAGCAAUGCUGGCAGCACUAUUUCCCAAAGACAACCUCUGGAUAUGACGCUGAGCACGUGCACUCAACUUCUUCUUUGGUCGACCAUGGCGAGGCCUGUUCUGAGUGGAACCUGUCCUGUUAAACCGCUGUAUGUUCUUGGCCAUCGUGCUGCAGCUCAGUGUCAGGGUCUUGGUAAUCUUCUUAAAGCCUAGGCCAUUUUCAUGUAGAGCAAGAAUUAUUUUUUUCACAUCCUCAGAGAGUUCUUUGCCUUGAGGUGCCAUGUCGAACUUCCAGUGACCAGUAUGAGGGAGUGUGAGAGUGAUGACACCAAAUUUUACACACCUGCUCCCCAUUCACACCUGAGACCUUGUAACAGUAACAAGUCACAUGACACCGGGGAGGGAAAAUGGCUAAUUGGGCCCGAUUUGGACAUUUUUACUUGGGGGUGUACUCACUUUUGUUGCCAGCGGUUUAGACAUUAAUGUGUGUUGAGUUAUUUUGAGGGGACAGCAAAUUUACACUGUUACACAAGCUGUACACUCACUACUUUACGUUGUAGCACAGUGUCAUUUCUUCAGUGUUGUAACAUGAAAAGAUAUCAAAUAUUUACAAAAAUGUGAGGGGAGUUCUCACUUUAUUGUGAAAUACUGUACAUCUUUUUAUUUACUUUAAUAUUUAUUCAUAGUGUGUUUGUGUGUAUGUAUAUAUAUAUAUAUAUAUAUAUUAAAUAGAUAGAGCGAGCGAGUAACGGUAGCGUGUCUGACUCCAGAUCAGAAGGUUGCGUGUUCAAAUCACGUCGGGGUCAUUCAAUGCACUGGGGUGAGAUCUACCAUUUGAUCUUGAAAAUCUCCCUUAAUGUCCAGGGAAGGGAAACCAGCCAGGUUAUGCCUUUAAAGGGCUCGUGCCUUGUCCUCUGAAAGAGCUCUUGCCCAGAUGUCAGACACUAGUCGCAACAGUCACAGCCCACCACCUGUCUCCGAGUUCCAAUGCGUCUUGAUCGCCACGCCGAUGAACAAGUAUGCCUUGCACCAUGAUGCGCUAUAGGCUUCGAGCUGGGACCUCGUGGCGCAACGGAAGUGCGUCUGACUCCAGAUCAGAAGGUUCAAAUCACGUCGGGGUCAUUCAAUGUGCUCUUUUUCACACAGACCCAUGAUAGUCUAAUAAGGAUGCUGUUAUAUGGACUCCAAUCUCUAUGAUGACCACCCAUGUCUUUGUCAACGUCAUGCUAAAAGGUAACAAAGCUUAGGUAGCGACACUCUCACCUAGUAACCAUUAGUAACUUGACAACCUGCUGAAUGUUUACCCUUAGUUUGCCCAUUUUGCUUGCUGAACAAAACAUGCUGGAAAGAGGCACCUUAGAUGGUUUCACUGGACCUCUCAGAGGAUCUGGAGGGUACUACAACACCCAAACAGGGACUUGAACCCUGGACCCUCAGAUUAAAAGUCUGAUGCUCUACCGACUGAGCUACCUGGGCUCGAGGAGAGAGAGAGCGCACUUUACCCUCGAGCUUGUAGGUCAGGCCUGUGGACGCUCUAGUUCAACGGUUCUCACAGACAUAAAUGGUGCUCAGCCCUUGGCUUGGAAAGUGCCCAUCCCAUCUGGUUCUCAUGGCUUUCUACAAACUAUUAACACAGCUCAGCACCACUAUUCAAGGAUACAAAACAACAGGGUUCAACCACGGCUCUGUCCUUCAUACUUCUUUACCCACUGACUGCCUGCAGUCUGAGACAUACAAAGAGACAAGGUUCUUGUGAAACCUGUAAAAUGGUGACGUUAACCAAGAGAAUGUUGAACUUUGGUCCUAUCUAUUAUGUUGGCCAGUUUCUAAGUUGAGAUCAACUUAACCCCAGUGCUUUCUGUUUAACGACCUUGUUCGUAUUUUUGUUUACAACUAGCACACUUUUGACCAGCAUGUCGCUUGGAAAUCGUUACCAGCAUAACUCUUAUUCGUAAGGCUCACUCUGGAGGCUUGUCUUGGUUCAAGGAAUGCCUUCGUGUCAUGGUAUAGGAACAAGUAGAAUAGCAUCAGCAGUUUUAAUUAAACUUGUCUUUUCUGCACAAGGAGGCCAAAAUUUCUAACAAACACGUUAAUUCCACACCACAAACUGACGUGUAAUCUUGGCUCUGUAUGCCUCGCAAAAAGCAGGUUUACGCCACCUUUGCCACUGAUUGCCCAUCGUCUGACACGUAUAAUGACACAAAGGCCUCGCACAAAUGGUAAAUGUGUGAAGUUACCCAGAAGAAGGCUGAACCAUGGUUCUAUCGCAUAGGCAGUUGAGUCCCUGAGUUGCGCUUCAGGUAUAAGUUGUCCACGCUUCACUCUCACGCACUGGGGUGAGAUCUACCAUUUGAUCUUGAAAAUCUCCCUUAAUGUCCAGGGAAGGGAAACCAGGCAGGUUAUGCCUUUAAAGGGCUCGUGCCUUGUCCUCUGAAAGAGCUCUUGCCCAGAUGUCAGACACUAGUCGCAACAGUCACAGCCCACCACCUGUCUCCAAGUUCCAAUGCGUCUUGAUCGCCACGCCGAUGAACAAGUAUGCCUUGCACCAUGAUGUGCUAUAGGCUUCGAGCUGGGACCUCGUGGCGCAACGGAAGUGCGCCUGACUCCAGAUCAGAAGGUUCAAAUCAUGUCGGGGUCAUUCAAUGUGCUCUUUUUCACACAGACCCAUGAUUUUCUGCGCAGUCUAAUAAGGAUGCUGUUAUAUGGACUCCAAUCUCUAUGAUGACCACCCAUGUCUUUGUCAACUUCAUGCUAAAAGUGCCCAAAGCCCGUGGUGGUGGCAGUGCAUGGCGUUUGUGUGGAAGCAGGUCUGUUGGGAGUGUUAAGUACCAUCAUCUCAUACACUCACCACAACUCUGGGAAGUUCCAUCCAUAUUGUUUGCUGUCACUUUUCCUGCAAAGCUUUAACCAUCAGAGAGUUAUCUUUUACUGGGGCUUUUAGCUGCAGGAGACUGAAUUACUAAGUUUUUUUUUUUUGUGGAUCUGAUUUCUUCUUUCGCAGGAGUGGAUCUAAUCACAGCCUGUGAUAUUCGUCUGUGCACACAGGAUGCCUGGUUUCAGGUGAAGUCGUGUGUUCCCUGAUAGUCAAUGAUUGCUGGAGCUCUGGAAAUAGCAGGUGAGAUUGCAGGCCGGAGUCCCGUCGCUGUCCAGGGAACCAAAGUCAACCUCCCCUACUCCUGAGACCACAGUGUGACUGAGAGCCUAGACUACAUGGCUACUUGGAACAUGAACAUGUUGCAGACACAGGAUCUUAUGAAGUCAGCGCAGGCAGCCCUGGAAAAGAAGAGUCCGAAAGACGUGCCCUUCUCCAAGCUUUAAAGGAGAAGAUCCAGGGCUGUUGAAGCUGCGGUGGAACUGAGACAUCAUCAUCCACAUAUCUUCAGUUCUUCUUGCUAAGUCUGUUUCUUUUUAGUCUUUUUAUUUUUAGACUGGUCAAAAGACUGAUUAGUGGAAGUGAAAUGAUAGAUGAACUUUUAAUUACUUGCUUUAUUAUUUGCAGGUGCCUUGUACAGUAAGACAGGGUAACUAAUACUCAAAAGCUUGUUUUGUGUGUUAACAUGUACAGUAGAUGGACAUAUUUCUUCUGGUCCUGUGUGACUGCAGAAUGUAGUGCAGUUAACACAGUAAAUUUCCUUGGAUGCUCACUUUUAACUCGAGGAGGUCACAGUUUGCCCAGACAUCUUUUAUUUAAAUCCGUCAAUCGGUCACCCACACGUCAUUCUGGGGGACGAAGAGGAGGAAGCUGGACAGAUACAUUUAUUUAUUAUUGCUGUUUCCUCAAUCCAGUGCAGAAAGAAGAAAAACUACACAACUGAUUUAAAAUAAAAAUAUAGAAAACAAUCUAAUGUAAGGUUCUGAUCCGGUUUUUCUUUCCUGUUGCUCUUUCUCUUCUAUUAGUCCAUUUGUCCAGUCUGAAUCGGUUUGAUUGUUUGAUUCGUUUCGAGACGAUUCAGAGUCAAAUAAUUUUCUAGUGAGAGUCGCACACUUCCAAACGAACUAGACUGAGAUGAGUAUUUGAUUCUCACUAGAAAGUGAUUAGACUCUGAAUAAACUCGAAAUGAAUCAGUCAAACUGAUUCAGACUUGAUAAAAGGACUAUGAGAUGUGAUUAAGAUAUAUAUUCCAAUGUUUUGCUUUACAAUUCCACUGUGUGUGUGUGCGCGCCUGUGUGUGUUUUUCAGGGGAACGAGAAACUCUGACACAACAGUACAUCCUGACCAUUGGUACUGUGCACACAUCAACAUACACACACGUCUCCAUGCUAGACAUCUCAGGAGCUUUCACACACAGUGCUAGGAAUAUCCCGGGACAGAGAAACGCACCUCCUAAGUGAGCGAGUUUAGCGUCAACCGGUGAAAUUUGCUGUAGCGUGAACGCUUCGCCUCUGUGAGCUUCACUCUCUGUCAGGUUCCCUGUAAUUAGACAUAAAAUGUACAUAAUUAUUUUGCAUACAUUUAGGAUUUAAUGUUGUUUUUUUUUUUACUCUUCAAGCAACAGAAAUGAUCUUUUGAGGCAGCUGCUUCAUCACUACCUGCUCCGUUUGACUCAAAAAUGUAACGACCGGUUUCAAAAAGUCACAAUGUCUUCAGUUCAUGAGAUUUUACUGUUGAAUUUAAACAGGAAAUGUGAAAUAUUUUUGUUCCUUUAUGUUUCCUCUACUGUCUUUUUGCUGUGAUAUUGAACACAGUUGUAUUUUUUUUUUAAAAGAAUACAUAAAUGAUCAUUCUAUUUCUCUCACUUUCCUUGUCCUAAUUGUCCUGUAGUUGUGUUGUGCUUCCCUUUAUAAAUGCAUCAUUGAUGGCUUUAAGUAAGGUGAAAGAAUAGGAUGCAGUUUCCAUAAUGCAAAUAUUAAGAAAUCAUGAAGAACUAAUGAUACACGGAUUUAUAACAGACACGUAUAUGAUGGAAUGGAACUCCCAUAAUGCACCGGGGCAAACAAAACGAAAACAUUAAAAAAACCAUGUCAUUUCUAAUUAGUUAUUGCAGUAAAUGAUGUUAUAUUCAUUACAGGUCUUUUGCCUGUACAACUGUUCAGAAGAGUUUGAUUGAAAAGUGUUUCCAUAAUCCGUACCAUAAAUAGUAUAACUACUUUUUUAUUUUUUAAUUUAUUAUACAAACCUCCCCCUCAAUGAUGCAAGCCCAGCCCUAGAGAUAAUUCCAAGACAGCUUCCAUAUUGAGUGAAUGGUGGAAAAUUUGUCUACAUCUAGAAGUGAUUGUGAAACUAUAGUAGUAAUCUGGCUCAGUGUUAUGUUACGGUACCUUGUCAGGAAGCAAGCACAGGUGGUGCUGAAACAAGAAGGCGAGGAGAAGAAGGUCAGGUUUUCGGGCGAACAGUCAACACUGGGCAAGGCAG
ensembl:lncRNA